rnacentral:lncRNA from 1 species
CUAAGCCCACAAAAGUGGAGCCUGCAGUUUUUACUUCUGUAGUUCACUAUGAAAUUGAGCAGCAAUAAUUUAGGCUGUUCAAUAUGUCAUAAAUGGAUACGCAACAGACAUCAGCUACACAUAGUGGGACUGUGCAACUGUCUGUGAUCCAGAGAAAAAACAUCUCUGCAGAAAAAGGCCAUCCUGCAGAAUUUUAUCUGGGGCAUUGUGGAAGAUGCAAAAUGGUGACCAGGCUGCUGAUACAGUUUUUAAACAAAAAAAUCAAAACAAGCAAGCAGAGCUUUGCAGGGGGCAGUUAAAAUGUUGUUCUUCUGCUAAUGGUAAGCCCCAUCUCAAAGAAACUGCUGGAGAAUUUCUACCCAAAGAGAACUUUGGUGAAAUGCUCCCUGCAGAAAAGGUGGAGAAUUUUG